rnacentral:rRNA from 1 species
UACGUAGGGGGCUAGCGUUGUCCGGAAUUAUUGGGCGUAAAGAGCUCGUAGGCGGUUUGUUGCGUCGGCUGUGAAAUCCCGAGGCUCAACCUCGGGUCUGCAGUCGAUACGAGCAAACUAGAGUGUUGCAGGGGAGACUGGAAUUCCUGGUGUAGCGGUGAAAUGCGCAGAUAUUGGGAAGAACACCAGUGGCGAAGGCGGUUCUCUGGGACGGUACUGGACGCA